GAAAGAGAGAGAGAGAAAAGAUGUACCAUCCGCACCCUUCCUGUCCCGGUCCGUUAAACUGUGCGUCGACGGUGACAGGGGAAGCAGGCCGAGCCAGAGCAGGGCGCCGUUGCCAGGGACAGCUCCUUCCUUCCACCGCGGGAUCUCCCUCCCCUCGUGAAAGAAAAAAUAAAAAAAAUCCCACCUCGCCAGAAAAAGUCAAUCGGAGUCCUCUCCCCCGUUGGCGUCAACCCCGCCGUACGCCCGCACUCUCUUCUCACGCGGCCUAAGCAACCUCCUCAUCCCCCUCCUCCUCAAAUCCACCGCCCGAACCCCGGCUCAGCCUCCCCUCCUUGCUCCUCCUCCUCCUCCCCAGACCCGGAGGCCAUGGGCGGCUCGUCCUCCAGCCGCCGCCGCCGGGACGACUACUACCCGCCCCCGCCGCCGCCCCUCCACCACUACUCCAACUACCCGCCGCCCCCACCUCCGCCGCCGCACCACCCCCAUCACCCNNNNN
rnacentral:lncRNA from 1 species